UACGCAGGGGGCUAGCGUUGCUCGGAUUGACUGGGCGUAAAGGGCGCGUAGGCGGUUCGUACAGUUGGGCGUGAAAUUCCUGGGCUUAACCUGGGGGCUGCGUUCAAUACGUGCGAGCUUGAGUUCGGAAGAGGGUCGUGGAAUUCCCAGUGUAGAGGUGAAAUUCGUAGAUAUUGGGAAGAACACCGGUGGCGAAGGCGGCGACCUGGUCCGAUACUGACGCUGAGGCGCGAAAGCGUGGGGAGCAAACAGG
rnacentral:rRNA from 1 species